GAUAAACGCUGGCGGCGUGCCUAAUACAUGCAAGUCGAGCGGAAAGGCUCCUUCGGGAGUACUCGAGCGGCGGACGGCUGAGUAACACGUAGGAACGUACCCCAAAGUGAGGGAUAACUGCUCGAAAGAGUAGCUAAUACCGCAUGUUCUCUAAGGAGUAAAGCUUCGGCGCUUUGGGAACGGCCUGCGCCUGAUUAGCUUGUUGGUGAGGUAAAAGCUCACCAAGGCGACGAUCAGUAGCUGGUCUGAGAGGAUGAUCAGCCAGACUGGGACUGAGAACGGCCCAGACUCCUACGGGAGGCAGCAGUAGGGAAUUUUCCACAAUGGGCGAAAGCCUGAUGGAGCAACGCCGCGUGCAGGAUGAAUGCCUUCGGGUUGUAAACUGCUUUUAUAUGUGACGAAUAUGACGGUAGCAUAUGAAUAAGGAUCGGCUAACUCCGUGCCAGCAGCCGCGGUAA
rnacentral:rRNA from 1 species